UUUGUACUCCCUCCGUCCAAAAGGAGAUGUAUCUAGACGUAUUUUAGUUCUAGAUACAUCUAUUUUUAUCCAUUUUGAUGACAAGUAUUUUUGGACGGAGGGAGUAAUAA
rnacentral:pre_miRNA from 1 species